AAAGCCCAUUGGCAAAGAGGAAGGCUGGGAAUGCCCCCCACUCCUUCCCUCCAAACCCAGUCUCUUGAUGAGAGUCAUGACAGGAAGAGGCCAGGAGGGGGCGCCUCUUUGCUACUCAUUCUAUGCUUGUAGAUUUUUGAACUGUCCACCUGCAGUUUGUGCUUCAACCAAAUGUUUUACACUUAAAUGUCUCACACUUUAAAACUAAUAUUUAUGGUGAAGCUUGGAAAAAACACUUAUGCUACAUAGGGUGGUUCUGACCCCAGGGCUCCGAUCUGGCUGAAUCCUGUUCUCAGCAUUUUCUUGAGUGUAGGGACUAUGGGUUCGGUCUGGGGGAGAAGAGGUAUUUUGGCUAGAGUCAACAGGGAAGGGAGAAUGGCUGAGAGGGCCAGGGCAGGAAUGUGACAGGAGUAGGGUAAGGAGGUAGUGAGGAACAAUUAGGCUGUUCAGGGCCAUCUGGGAGAUCCAGGAAAGACGAGGCCGUUCAGAGCUAGCCACAGAAACCACUGGUUAGCCUCUUUUCUAUUUUUUUUUACAUUUAUUCUAUUCCAUCUGUCUGUCUGCCUGUCUGUCUGUCUAUCCAUCAUCUACGAAAUUUUACUAUGUAGCUCUUUCUGGCUUCGAAUUAGCCUGCCUUUGCCUCCUGAGAACACCGAAGUGUGCUACAGCGUCCUGAGACGUCUGUGUGUGUGUGUGUGUGUGUGUGUGUGAGAGAGAGAGAGAGAGAGAGAGAGAGAGAGAGAGAGAUGUUGCAUGUCCCAUGGCCUAUCUGUGAAGUUCAGAGGGCUUGUGGGAGCCAGUUCUCCCUUCACCUUGUGGGUUCUGGGGAUUAGACCCCAGGUCGUCAAACAGCAAGUGUCCUACAUGCUGAGCCAUCUCACCAGCCCCAUGGUGGCCCUUUUCUUAAAGGGUCUGGUGAGGAGAGGGAAGGAAAGUACAUAUGGCAGGAGGGAGCUAACGGGUGACAGGCUUGAGGAGAAGUCAGAGCUCCUAUUUUCCAGGGGGCAGAACACCCCUAAGAAUCCCUUACUCUCUUGGGGCAAGGGCAGAUACAGACUCUGAGACUGCCCACCUGUUUGUUUGUUUGUUUGUUUUUCUAAUUAAAAAAGAUUUAUUAUGCAUAAUAGUACAGUGUCGCGGUCUUCAGACACACCAGAAGAGGGCAUCCAUCGGAUCCCUUUACAGAUGGUUGUGAGCCACCAUGUGGUUGCUGGGAAUUGAACUCCAGACCUCUGGAAGAGCACUCAGUGCUCUUAACCGCUGAACCAUCUCUCCAGCCCGCCUACCUGGUUUUAAGCUUUACUUAACUUUUUUUUUUGGGGUGGGGUGGGGUGGGGGUGGGGGGCGGUAUUAGCAUUUAAAGAAGUAGUAGGUCUCACGGCUUUAUUUUUCAAAGCCAGGGUCCUGGGACUCGAAGCCGGCAGGAAACACUACCAUUAGAACACCGCGGGCGAAAGUCACGGCGGAACAGAAGUUGCACGCCUAGGCGCGCAGCGGAGGACUCCUGAGAAGGGAACCCACGCAGAUCGACAGUUUCCGGUUUCGGACGCGGACCUUGCAGUUGUGGGAGAUUUGGGGCUGCAGGUGCCAUGCAUCCUUUACGGUGUGUCCUCCAAGUACAGAGGUUGUCAGCACCAUUCACCUCCAUGUGCUGGGUGUUGCUUAGGACCUGCAGAGCACAAAGCAGUGUGUCCAGCACUCCUUGUCCCAGUCCAGAGGCGAAGAGCUCAGAAGCUCAGAAGGACUUCAGCUCCAGGCUAGCCACUGGACCGACUUUUCAGCAUUUUUUAAGAAGUGCUUCAGUUCCUCAAGAGAAACCAUCUUCUCCAGAGGUGGAGGACCCACCUCCCUAUCUCUCGGGGGAUGAACUUCUAGGAAGGCAGAGAAAAGUCUACCUCGAGACCUAUGGCUGUCAGAUGAACGUGAACGACACAGAGAUAGCCUGGUCCAUCUUACAGAAGAGUGGCUACCUUCGGACCAGCAACCUCCAAGAGGCUGAUGUGAUCCUUCUUGUCACGUGUUCUAUCAGGGAGAAGGCCGAGCAGACCAUCUGGAACCGCUUACAUCAGCUCAAAGUCCUGAAGACAAAGCGGCCACGCUCUCGAGUACCUCUGAGGAUUGGGAUUCUAGGCUGCAUGGCUGAGAGGCUGAAGGGAGAGAUCCUCAACAGGGAGAAGAUGGUAGAUCUCUUGGCUGGUCCAGACGCCUACCGAGACCUUCCCCGGCUGCUGGCUGUGGUGGAGUCAGGUCAGCAAGCAGCAAAUGUGCUUCUCUCUCUGGAUGAGACCUACGCAGAUAUCAUGCCAGUCCAGACGAGCCCCAGUGCCACUUCUGCCUUUGUAUCCAUUAUGCGGGGCUGCGACAACAUGUGCAGUUACUGUAUCGUGCCGUUCACGCGUGGCCGGGAGAGGAGCCGGCCAGUUGCCUCCAUUCUCGAUGAAGUGAGGAAGCUGUCCGAGCAGGGCCUAAAAGAAGUGACACUUCUUGGUCAGAAUGUUAAUAGUUUUCGGGACAAUUCGGAAGUCCAGUUCAAUAAUGCAGGGUCUGCUAACCUCAGCCGUGGCUUUACCACCAACUAUAAACCCAAACAAGGAGGGCUUCGUUUUUCUCACCUUCUGGAUCAGGUUUCAAGAAUCGAUCCUGAAAUGAGGAUCCGAUUCACCUCUCCUCACCCCAAGGAUUUUCCUGAUGAGGUUCUUCAGCUGAUUCGUGAGAGACACAACAUCUGUAAGCAGAUCCACCUGCCAGCCCAGAGUGGAAGCAGCCGUGUACUGGAUGCCAUGCGGAGAGGAUAUUCAAGAGAAGCAUAUGUGGCAUUAGUUCAUCAUGUCAGAGAGACUAUCCCAGGUGUGAGCCUUAGCAGCGACUUCAUCACUGGCUUUUGUGGAGAGACAGAGGAUGAUCACCGGCAGACAGUGUCUUUACUUAGAGAAGUGCAGUAUAAUACCGGUUUUCUCUUUGCAUACAGCAUGAGGCAAAAGACACGAGCAUAUCACAGGCUGAAGGAUGAUGUUCCAGAAGAAGUAAAAUUAAGGCGUUUGGAGGAACUCAUUACUGUCUUCAGAGAAGAAGCUUCAAAAGCCAAUAAGACCUCAGUGGGUUGUAGCCAGCUGGUACUGGUUGAAGGGUUCAGCAAACGUUCUACCACAGACCUUUGUGGCCGGAAUGAUGCAAACCUUAAGGUGAUUUUCCCUGACGCAGAGGUGGAGGAUAUCACUAACCCUGGGCUCAAGGUCAGAGCUCAACCUGGGGACUAUGUGCUGGUGAAGCCACCUUUCUCCAGGCUCUGCCCUCAGGUGAGGCUGGUCCCUGGCACCGGCAGCCUCCUAUAUAUUGGAUAUCCUGGAAAAGAUUACCUGGGUAUUCUUCACUCUGGCCAAUCUGAGUUCGGUCACUUCAGUCUUCUCUGAUGUCAGCAUGCAAAUGGUCCCCUGGGUACUUGUCGCAUCCGCUCUCGACCAGCAAGAACGACAGGACCACCAGUUCUUCUAACAGCAGUUUAUUCAGCAAGCUUCAGUCUUCAUCUCUCUCCAAGGAACCCUGGGUCUCUCACUCUUAUAUUCUCUCAGCCCCUAUCCACCUCACCAGGCACUCGGUUUCAGCCAAUCAGGGCGGCAGGGGUGCGUCUCCACCAAAUAUGGACUUGUUUACACCACCAGCUCUGCAUCCGGCAGGUGCCAUCUUUCAGGAGUUCCAGUUUUCACCUGGAUGCUCAGGCUUGAGAACUGGUGGAAGACAGAGUUCCAGGAGACAGCAGAGACGUAGGAAGCACACAGGAAGCACGAGGCUGACCAUGGCUUGUUCUGAAGCGCUUCCUUCAGCCAGCAGGACAAACUGUCAGCGAAAGUUCACAGAUUUGAUGGAAUAUGUUAGAGAAGACUGGGUUCUAUAUUUUAAGAUUUUUAAAAAAAUUUAUGUGUAUGUAUGUAUGUAUGUAUGUGUGUGUGUGCCUACAUGAGAUUCUGUGAACCACGUGUGGGCAUGUGCUUUGGCAGUCAGAGGGCACCAGAGUCCCUGGAACUGUAGUUACAGGUGGUUGUGAGCUGAUUGAUGUAGGUUCUAGGCCCUUUGUAGGAGCAGUAAAUGCUUUUAAUCUCUGAUCCACCUCUA